AUCUCGUCUCAGAUGCUGAAGGCUAAAGUGGAGUCUAUAAGGUAAAAGUUGUUUUUAUUCGGUUGCUGAAGGCAAUUUUAUGUAAAUAGCUCGUCGUUAUAGCCUUCUAAGCAUACGCGAUCUUGGAAUAUCACCAUCGCCAUAUAUAUCUUCGGGACUUUUGCUUCUCAACCUAUUCGGCCAGUGAUUUUGAUCCUAACCCGUAGUUGUUGUGAGUCAAUCACUGUUGAAAUACAAGUGGCCCAUGACUGACGUGGCCUCAAAGAACUAAAAGGUGCCCUGAAAACUUCAUUCUUUCGUCACAUCUUACACGGAUUGUGCCUAGGUUGCUUUGUUACAUCACCGUUUGUACAACGAGUAAGGAUUUCAACAAUUUUGACGGUCUGUAUGCAAGAUCAUAUUUCAGAUUAUAAUGAAUUAAAAAACUUGAAAGAGCUGUCUUCAUCUGUAUUGGCAAUUAAACCAUUCAACAACUUGUAUCAAAUGGAACUUUAAAUCAAUGGACAUGUCAACGAUCCCAUAUAGACUUUAAUGACAAUAACGCACAUCUAACUCACAAUUUGAAUCGAUCUGCUUAUUAUUCCGAUACAAGUUUCAACAUAACCUGAGUAAACGUUGGACAUUAAAACAGAUUAUUACCAUGUCGAAAGCCGUGUCUGCCAACUCCAAAGGAAAAUCCACAGAUUCACGCCCACAGUGGAAUCCCUCCGUCGCCGUAGUUAGUCGAAAUUCACAGUUGCAGAGCCUUCCAGGAAAGAAAAGACAGUACGAGAACAUUAAAAGUCGAAUACGUUCUGGAAUUAAAAACGGGAAUUCCGAUGCUUCGCUUGACGGAUCGACUAGCUUCCGGCAACGCAAUGAUUCUUCUGCCGUGGCAGCUUGUCUUUACCCAAACGGUCAUCAGUCUCCGUGGCCAAACGAUGCUAAUGCCACGGCAAGUGGUCCGACCGAUGAAGUACCAGAAGCUUCAAUCAGCCCUUCGCGUUGCGUUUGAUUAUAUUAUGUGAAUAAGCCAGAAAAGAAAUGUGAGCAUUUGUACGCUCAGGUUUAAAAUUUUAAAAUUGAAAUGGAGGUGUAGGUAUAUCUUAUUCCACGCUUAAACACAAAGUGUUUCGACCCUAACAAUCGAUCUUUAUUUCUCGGAAUAAUGAAUCUUAUUUAUUUUGUACUUAGAUAAACUUAAAUAAACGCUCAACAAUGAAA
rnacentral:lncRNA from 1 species